rnacentral:rRNA from 1 species
CCUACGGGAGGCAGCAGUGGGGAAUUUUGGACAAUGGGCGCAAGCCUGAUCCAGCAAUGCCGCGUGCAGGAUGAAGGCCUUCGGGUUGUAAACUGCUUUUUGUACGGAACGAAACGGCGAGCUCUAAUAAAGUUCGCUAAUGACGGUACCGUAAGAAUAAGCACCGGCUAACUACGUGCCAGCAGCCGCGGUAAUACGUAGGGUGCAAGCGUUAAUCGGAAUUACUGGGCGUAAAGCGUGCGCAGGCGGUGAUGUAAGACAGAUGUGAAAUCCCCGGGCUCAACCUGGGACCUGCAUUUGUGACUGCAUCGCUAAGAGUACGGUAGAGGGGGGAUGGAAUUCCGCGUGUAGCAGUGAAAUGCGUAGAUAUGCGGAGGAACACCGAUGGCGAAGGCAAUCCCCCUGGACCUGUACUGACGCUCAUGCACGAAAGCGUGGGGAGCAAACAGGAUAGAUACCCUGGUAGUCCACGCCCUAAACGAUGUCACUGGUUGUUGGUACUCNCUGCUCAGUACGAGACGACG